AAUAUCUUUCCUCCGUCUUAAAAUUCUUGUCUUAGAUUUGUUUAAAUAUAAAUGUAUCUACUCACAUUUUAAUAUUUUGAUACAUCAAUUUCUAGACAAAUGUAAGAUAAGAUAUUUAGGACGGAGGGAGUAUCAU
rfam:Hordeum vulgare subsp. vulgare, WGS project CAJW01000000 data, contig: morex_contig_1570168